CAUUAAAUAAUUUAUAUUGCUCAUAUAAUCUGAAGAAUAUGGCUUUAGAAGUUUCUACCGUGUUGCCAUAAACAACGCGACUAUGAGUUCAAGUACAAAGGUA
rfam:Staphylococcus sp. HMSC078E07 Staphylococcus_spHMPREF2905-1.0_Cont149.2, whole genome shotgun sequence.